GACGAACGCUGGCGGCGUGCCUAAUACAUGCAAGUCGAACGCAGUGGGGACGGGUGAGUAACCCGUGGGUAACCUCCCAUCAGAGGGGAUAACACUUGGAAACAGGUGCUAAACCGAUACUGGUUGAUGGACCCGCGGUGCAUUAGCUAGUUGGUGGGGUACAGGCUCACCAUGUCCAAGAUGCAUAGACGAGCUGAGAGGGUGAUCGGCCACACUGGGAAUGAGACACGGCCCAGACUCCUACGGGAGGCAGCAGUAGGGAAUAUUCGGCAAUGGACGAAAGUCUGACCGAGAAACGCCGCGUGAGUGAAGAAGGUUUUCGGAUCGUAAAACUCUGUUGUCAGAGAAGCGGUAUCUAAACAGAAAGCAACGGCUAACUACGUGCCAGCAGCCGCGGUAAUGC
rnacentral:rRNA from 1 species